UAGAGCAGUCAAUUCACAAGUGUAGUUCGGCCUGAACCAGGACCGAGUUUCGACUUGCUUGGUGAGGCGUAUGACUUUACAAUUUGUAUUCGUGGGACAUCGGGUUGGGGCUAAUGUAUUGGCAAAAGCAGAUUGAACACCAAGGACCAAGUCGAUGCAAGAGAACAUUUGUGACUGCUCGGCGCGUGCAAAAUACUGUUUAAUCAUUUAUGUGAACUAUUUAAAUAGUUCAAUUGUCGUUGACAGUGAUGCUCUAUUUUGCAAGCAGGGGAAGCCAGAAGCCGAGAGCAGCAGGUCAUGCAGAUGCGAGUGCACUGCUUUGAUAUGGCUCUUUCGGGCUUCUAAUAGUUUGUAUGUAACAGAGCACCAUGUAAACCACAACCAUUCCAUGUCUCACCAUGGGCCAAGGGAAAACAAUGUAAACCUCGGGAAGGUGUACAACAUUAUUGGAAGUGUCUUCAGCUCGGUUGAGAAGGUGUUGUUCACAAAGAGGGCGCUCAUGAACAUAUGGUGUAAGAUAAGCCGAGAGCGAGCUGAUGACGAUGUGAGAAAGACGUUGGAAGUGUUCGCAGACAUUGUUGCAGGGGACCCAGACUUUACAUAUUCUUGCCGAUAGUGAUAGCAGAGUGAAAAGUUUGAUGUGGACAAAUGGGAGCAGCCGAAUGCAAUACCGAUUCUUUGGUCAUGUGGUUAGUGGCGGAGCUACACCCCAGGCCUGGGGGGCCUUGGCCCGGGGCGUGGCGUGAGCAGCCUUUGUUGAAUGUGGUGCUUUUAGUACUGUUGAUCACUGUAGAUUGAUGCAGCAAUGAAGCCUGCCCAGGGCUCAAUGCUAACCUGGCUCCGCCCCUGCAUGUGGUUACAUUCGACACGACGUACUUGGCAAAUCUAUAUGACAUUGCUGUUUGGGCUUCUGUGGGAGUGAAUAACCAUUUCCAAAGCAUCAUCCUCACUGGCGUGCUGAUGUGGGAUGAGCAAGUAGAGAGUUUCAAGUGGGUUUUCGGUGAGUUUCUCCAUAUGAUGGGAGGACCGGCACCUAAAACCAUCCUGACAGUAAAGUUUAUCCAAAUAGCAUGCACUGUUAGUGCAAAUGGCACGCACCAAAGAAAGCAAAGGAGAGCGUACUGCCACUCUACACGAAGAAGUGUGAGUUCCAAGCUGAGUUCUAUAAAGACGUGAACCACAUGUUGACUACGGAUGAGUUUGAGACAGCGGGGGGUAUGCUGCUUGACAAGUACAACCUGAGGAAGAAUGACCCAGAUAUAUGAAACAAGAUCAAAGUGGGCGAAGCCAUACUUCAAAGGUGUUUUGUGCACCAAAAUGACAAGUAUGCAAAGAAGCGAGAGUGCGAACAAGAUGCUGAAGUCCUAUAUGCCCCCAGCGAGCCUGAUGCACGUCUUUGUUAGGCAAUACAUGAGGCUCCAGUUUGACCACGAGAGGGAGGAAAGCUAUGAGAAGAAAAAGACAAUGCUUGGUGGUACUCCAAACUAAUGGGAUACAUAAUUGACUGGCUGAAGAAGGCAAGGAUAAUGGGAACGGGCAGAACCAUCGCACUGACUGAUAUGCUUCAUCUAGGCUGCAGUUUAAUGUGUAGUUGUUGCGCAUUGCAGUUCAUGUUCCGGGUGUUGCUCAUAGAUUGCUGGUCCCCGUACAUUCUUGACAUAGAGAAGAAAGAAUUUAUGGUGCUCGAUCCAACUGAGACUGAUCCACCAGAUGAGAUAACGGAAGCACGAGGCUUUGGCGAGGAAAUUCCAGCUCAGAUUAUGCCACCGUUUUAAUGACAUGUUUGGUGCUGGCUUGGUCGAGACUAUUGGGUGGACCUUUAUGUACCUCUUAGUGGGGCAGCAUGAACCAUGUACAAGGGAGGAAAGUGACGUCUACAUCCUGGGGUUCAUCGGGCUUUACCUUCGUUCAGCGCUUAGCUCGGAGCAGCUAGAUCACCUUCGGCAGAGAAUUGCAUACGAGAUUGUGAUCAUGAUGGGAACACGGGAGAUCUCCCAGAUUUCCUGUGCGAGGAGAUCAUUGACUGAAGGGAAUGAAUUGUGGUUCAGCAUUCGUGCUGGCUGUUCAGAUCUUUGGUCCGUGCGACGCGAGUGCUAUGUCCGUAGAAGUGCCCCUCUUAUGUUUCGGGGGCUUUUGGAGCACCCCAACCCCCAGCAGAACCUGAAAUCCAAUGAAACUUCUUUGAAUUUGUACUUUUUUAAGACCUAAGUAGUGUUGGUAGAACCACUUGUGUGGAGUGUUGUGAGAUGCCACUAUUUAAGCAUCAGCGCCUGUAUUUGUAAAGCCACUUGAGAUUUCAUGGAAUUUACUUCCAUUAGUUGUUGAA